rnacentral:rRNA from 1 species
CCUGGCUCAGGAUGAACGCUAGCGGCAGGCCUAACACAUGCAAGUCGAACGGUAACAGGGAUUAGCUUGCUAAUCCGCUGACGAGUGGCGCACGGGUGCGUAACGCGUAUACAAUCUGCCUUUAAGCGGGGAAUAGCCCAUGGAAACGUGGAUUAAUACCCCAUAGUAUAUAGACUUCACCUGGAGACUAUAUUAAACAUUUAUGGCUUAAAGAUGAGUAUGCGUCCUAUUAGUUAGUUGGUAAGGUAACGGCUUACCAAGACCGCGAUAGGUAGGGGUCCUGAGAGGGAGAUCCCCCACACUGGUACUGAGACACGGACCAGACUCCUACGGGAGGCAGCAGUGAGGAAUAUUGGACAAUGGAGGCAACUCUGAUCCAGCCAUGCCGCGUGCAGGAAGACGGCCCUAUGGGUUGUAAACUGCUUUUAUACGGGAAGAACCACUCCGACGUGUCGGAGCUUGACGGUACCGUAUGAAUAAGGACCGGCUAACUCCGUGCCAGCAGCCGCGGUAAUACGGAGGGUCCAAGCGUUAUCCGGAAUCAUUGGGUUUAAAGGGUCCGUAGGCGGAAUAAUAAGUCAGUGGUGAAAGUCUGCAGCUUAACUGUAGAAUUGCCAUUGAUACUGUUGUUCUUGAAUUAUUAUGAAGUGGUUGGAAUGAGUAGUGUAGCGGUGAAAUGCAUAGAUAUUACUCAGAACACCUAUUGCGAAGGCAGAUCACUAAUAAUAUAUUGACGCUGAGGGACGAAAGCGUAGGUAGCGAACAGGAUUAGAUACCCUGGUAGUCUACGCCGUAAACGAUGGUUACUAGCUGUCCGGCCUAAUUGAGGGCUGGGUGGUUAAGCGAAAGUGAUAAGUAACCCACCUGGGGAGUACGUUCGCAAGAAUGAAACUCAAAGGAAUUGACGGGGGCCCGCACAAGCGGUGGAGCAUGUGGUUUAAUUCGAUGAUACGCGAGGAACCUUACCAGGGCUUAAAUGCAGUCUGACAGGUCUGGAAACA